UAUCCCGAUCCCCCCUUCUCUCUCUCUUUGUAUGUGUUUUUUAAAAACAGAACCAAAUCUCUUUGAUUUCGGAUUUCACUGAUCGAACAAUGGCUUAUUUUCCCAAAGGUUGUUCUUCACAUUUGCUUAUCUGAAAGCGCCUCCAAGCUCCUGUUUGUGCCUUCUUCAUCGAUGCGCCAACCUCUGCUUACGGCUUCCAACCCAGGUCGUUUCUAUUCUAAUCGGCUUGAAAAGGUUUGAUUUUUUACCUUUCUAUUCUUUCGGUACUAAUUUCAAGCCUUCUUCAUCGAUUUUGGGUUAUUGUACGUUUUCGAUUUUCUGUAUUGGCUGUGGAUUUUCUUAUUCUUCCUAUUGAUUUUAGGUCAUUUCUAUUCUAAUCGGCUUGAAAAGGUUUGAUUUUUUUACCAUUCUAUUUUUCGGUUUAUUUUUUAUCUACUAUCGAUAUGAAGAUAUGCAAAAGUAUGUUUGAAUGUAUAAAUUUUACCUCGAACAAAUCCUUUCAUGAUUUUUUUUAAUCUUGAUGCUUUGGUUUUGGUUUAAUGGACGAAACUGUUUUAUAGGCUCUCUUUUAAAGAUGCACAUCAAGUGUUCGAUGAAAUUCCUAAAAGAAACCGGAUCCAUUUUCAACCUUUGAUGCCACUUAACUUUUUUUUUUCAAUAAUGAAAUACAGGCCACUGAAACACUAGACUAUUGUUAUCAAGCCUUAUUUGAUGUCUUAUCUGACUUUUCUUUUUGAUUGUUUGGGAUGAACAUCUUAUAUUUUUUUUAAUAUCGGUUUUCCAAACAUCUAUAAAAUGUGUGAAUUUAUUGUGUCAAGUUUUGAUAUUUCUUGAUAAAGUUUGAUAGAGUAUUAAAUUAUCAUGAUGCGUUGUGACUAGCAGGAUAGAAAACUGAUGAGAAGGAUUUAGUUUAAGUAUGAAAUUAUUUUUAUACUUUGUUGUCAUUGUUAGUUGAUCAAUGAGAAAAGGCAGAGGAGAAAGAACAUAAAAAUAAAAAAGGACCAGUCUCAUUGUUUCUUAUUUUCCAGCCAAGUUUCAUGAGCUUUCGAUUUCAAAUUCGUGAAACUGUUGGUAUGUUGCACGUUUCAAGUACAAGGUGCUCCCUCUAAUUGUGAAAAUCAACAUUGAAAUAAAUGAUGAAAAUAUUCCCCUAUAUAGAAGCUCUCCUUUUCUGUAGCCUUCCCCUCCAUUUUUCUCUUGAUCACCUUAGUUAAGUAUGUGGAUGAACAAGAGAGUAUGUAUGUUGAAGAUUUUGUGAAAUUAGCUUGCAUCUUUACCUGUUUCGGUGCAUCUUAUCCCAACUUUUAACUUGGUAAUGCAUAGAAAAUGACCAUGUUCUAUUGAAUAUGGUGUCGACUCAUUGUUGGUGCCUAUGUAGCAAGUGAAGAUGCAAAAACAGUAGCCCAUCCAGGAGUAUAAUGGUUUUUUGGAGGGAAACAUGUUGGUCAAUUGCAUAGAUGGUUGAAAUAUUAAUAACAUAAAUACCCUUAUACCACUCAACUCUCAUAUUUGUUUAUUUUUUGCCCCUUUUUUGUUUAUGGCUUUGUCAUUACCAAUUUUAUUGCUUCAUUAUCUUGCAUAUAUAAAUUCUUUUUAUAGGGAUGCAGUUGUUACCUAACCAAGAAGAUUAAUAAAAUACCCCAUGGGUAAAAUGUUUCUCUUUUAGUAAUGUGGUAUUCAUUUUGAAUGCAGAGCAUGGUGUUCAAAAAAAGGAAAACCAACAUAUCCUCUCCCAUUACCAAGCUUUAUUUUGAAGGAAAAAAAAAAAGACAAA